AGGGCCUAAUAUGCAACCCUUUUUUAAGACAUGGGGUCUUUGUCAUCGCCUCACAAAUAUUUAGAUUACUUUUAACUAAAAUAGUUUGAAAUUUAGAAGACUCCUAAGGAAAGAAGGAAAUUGGAGCAAGACCCUUGGAAAGAUAACUCAUGUCUAGAUAAUUUAAAGGAAAUUUCUCUUCUCCUACUACGGGUGGUGGUAUUGAGGCACGUGUAAGUGAUUGGGUU
rnacentral:lncRNA from 1 species